GGGUGACAUGUUCCAAAGAAUGCUACAAUUCUACAAGCUUGUUUGACGUAAUACAUAUUUUAUCAAAAUUGUGAGGGUCCAUAUGGACAUAUAUAUAAUUUCACAUCAAUUAUGUAUUAAAUAUAUUUUAAAUAUUUAUAUAAAAUCAAAAAAUCAAAUAAUAUCUUCUAAUUUAUCUUCUGGAUAAGAUCCUAAAUUAUUAUAAAUGAUACCAGAUCGAGUGGAUUUGGUCCAUGUAAACCAGAGGACCAUGC
rnacentral:lncRNA from 1 species